rnacentral:rRNA from 1 species
GACGAACGCUGGCGGCGUGCCUAAUACAUGCAAGUAGGACGCAGUUGCGAACGGGUGAGUAACGCGUAGGUAACUGCCUCUUAGAGGGGGAUAACUAUUGGAAACGAUAGCUAAUACCGCAUACUAGUAGAUGGACCUGCGUUGUAUUAGCUAGUAGGUAGGGUAAUGGCCUACCUAGGCGGCGAUACAUAGCCGACCUGGGAGGGGGAUCGGCCACAAUGGGACUGGGACAAGGCCCAGAAUCCUAAGGGGGGCAGCAGUAGGGAAACUUCGGAAAUGGGGGGAACCCUGACCGAGCAAAGCCGCGUGAGGGAAGAAGGGUUUCGGAUCGUAAAGCUAUGUUGUUAAGGAAGCGGUACUUAACCAGAAAGGGACGGCUAACUACGUGCCAGCAGCCGCGGUAAUUC